rnacentral:rRNA from 1 species
UGGGGAAUAUUGCACAAUGGGCGCAAGCCUGAUGCAGCCAUGCCGCGUGUGUGAAGAAGGCCUUCGGGUUGUAAAGCACUUUCAGCGAGGAGGAAGGUGGUGAGCUUAAUACGCUCAUCAAUUGACGUUACUCGCAGAAGAAGCACCGGCUAACUCCGUGCCAGCAGCCGCGGUAAUACGGAGGGUGCAAGCGUUAAUCGGAAUUACUGGGCGUAAAGCGCACGCAGGCGGUUUGUUAAGUCAGAUGUGAAAUCCCCGGGCUCAACCUGGGAACUGCAUUUGAAACUGGCAAGCUAGAGUCUCGUAGAGGGGGGUAGAAUUCCAGGUGUAGCGGUGAAAUGCGUAGAGAUCUGGAGGAAUACCGGUGGCGAAGGCGGCCCCCUGGACGAAGACUGACGCUCAGGUGCGAAAGCGUGGGGCAGCAAACAGGAUUAGAUACCCUGGUAGUCCACGCUGUAAACGAUGUCGAUUUUGGAGGUUGUGCCCUUGAGGCGUGGCUUCCGGAGCUAACACGUUAAAUCGACCGCCUGGGGAGUACGGCCGCAAGGUUAAAACUCAAAGGAAUUGACGGGGUCUAGCU